rnacentral:rRNA from 1 species
AUUGAACGCUGGCGGCAGGCCUAACACAUGCAAGUCGAGCGGAUGAAGGGAGCUUGCUCUUGGAUUCAGCGGCGGACGGGUGAGUAAUGCCUAGGAAUCUGCCUGGUAGUGGGGGAUAACGUCCGGAAACGGGCGCUAAUACCGCAUACGUCCUGAGGGGGAAAGUGGGGGAUCUUCGGACCUCACGCUAUCAGAUGAGCCGAGGUCGGAUUAGCUAGUUGGUGGGGUAAAGGCCUACCAAGGCGACGAUCCGUAACUGGUCUGAGAGGAUGAUCAGUCACACUGGAACUGAGACACGGUCCAGACUCCUACGGGAGGCAGCAGUGGGGAAUAUUGGACAAUGGGCGCAAGCCUGAUCCAGCCAUGCCGCGUGUGUGAAGAAGGUCUUCGGAUUGUAAAGCACUUUAAGUUGGGAGGAAGGGCAGUAAGUUAAUACCUUGCUGUUUUGACGUUACCAACAGAAUAAGCACCGGCUAACUUCGUG